rnacentral:rRNA from 1 species
CACGUAGGGGGCAAGCGUUGUUCGGAAUUAUUGGGCGUAAAGGGCAUGUAGGCGGUUCUGUAAGCCUGGUGUGAAAUCCUGCAGCUUAACUGUAGAAUUGCAUCGGGUACUGCAAGACUUGAAUCACAGAGGGGAAACUAGAAUUCCAGGUGUAGGGGUGGAAUCUGUAGAUAUCUGGAAGAAUACCGGUGGCGAAGGCGGGUUUCUAGCUGAUGAUUGACGCUGAGGUGCGAAAGUGCGGGGAGCAAACAGGAUUAGAUACCCUGGUAGUCCGCACUGUAAACGAUGUACACUAGGUGUCGGGGCAUGAGUCUCGGUGCCGAAGCUAACGUGAUAAGUGUACCGCCUGGGAAGUAUGCUCGCAAGGGUGAA